ACGCUCGACACCUACGAGAGGCAGCAGUAGGGAAUCUUCCACAAUGGGCGCAAGCCUGAUGGAGCAACACCGCGUGAGUGAAGAAGGGUUUCGGCUCGUAAAGCUCUGUUGUUGGAGAAGAACGUGCGUGAGAGUAACUGUUCACGCAGUGACGGUAUCCAACCAGAAAGUCACGGCUAACUACGUGCCAGCACGCCGACGUAUCUGNGGCGGCGUGAGAG
rnacentral:rRNA from 1 species